rnacentral:lncRNA from 1 species
CCAGGCUGCGCUCUAGCUUCACUGGUACCUGGGCUUGCCUGAGCCCGGAGAAGCAGCAUUCUCUAGGGAAAAGAAGCCUUCUCAAGUGGGAACAAAAAUGAUGUGAGGCGAACACCCAUCCCGGGCACUAUGUGAAUUUGGGCACCUCCGCACCUGUUGCCUUCAUUAGCAGCUUUUCUUCCUCCUCCUUCCAAUCCUCAGAACCAAAGAAUGUGAAGGGGGUCCAUGGAGGGCUCACGUCCCCGCAUCCUGGUCGGCCACCUAGAGCCUUCCCCACCAGCCUUCGACGGCGAGCUGGAUCUUCAGCGCUACUCCAACGGACCAGGUGUCAGCGGGACCCCAGGACCCGGCUCUCCUGGGAUGGGAGCAGUGGGCUGGUCUGAGACUCGUGCAGGCGAACGGCGCUUCCCCUGUCCUGUGUGCGGAAAGCGCUUCCGAUUCAAUUCUAUCCUGGCAUUGCACCUGAGAGCCCAUCCGGGCGCCCAAGCCUUCCAGUGCCCACAUUGCGGCCACCGCGCAGCUCAGCGGGCCCUGCUACGCUCUCAUCUCCGAACGCACCAGCCGGAGCGUCCACGCAGUCCUGCUGCACGGCUGUUGCUGGAGUUGGAGGAACGCGCCCUGCUUCGUGAAGCCCGACUCGGGAGAGCCAGAAGCUCAGGGGGCAUGCA